AGCAGGAGCAGAACAAUAGCCAGCUACAAAUGAUGGCAUUUAUGAAGAACACCACGGUGCUGUGUUGGAUAGCUAUUAUUCUCAUGUCCAUCAAUUCCUUGUCCUGCCAUGCUGCUGCGAGGAGCACACGUAAACAUUUUUCCCUCUUUAUUCAUUAAUAUUUUUGUAUUGAUAUGUAUCUCUUUUAUUUCAUUAGUCUAAGAAUACGUGAUCUAUUCUUCUAGAUCGACCAAGCAAUUUAACGUGUACCAUAUGCUGAUUGCUUGUGGGCGUUGUGACUGAUCUUGCAGAUACAAUGGACUUUGGACCUAUUCUUGGGUGUGUAAAGACGGAAACAAAAUGUUCGGUUGUUGGGUGCACGAAGAUAUGUUCCGACCUUGGCUGGAAUACCCACAGAUGCUAUUGUGCCGAUGCUGGCAGUUGCUGCCACUAUGCGGAUGGAAAGCCAUUAAAUUGAUAGUAUAAUGUAUUUUCAUGAGCUCUUCUUUUACAAGGGUGAAUGUCAAUCAUCUAUGUCACUACCGAUUAUAGAUUUAAUAAACUUCUAAAAUAUGCAGUUGGAUUAUAUUUAUGAACUGACUAUUUGAGUGAUAUGUUGUUUGCGUAGAAGUAUCGAUUAUUUGUAUCCCUUGUGAUAUGUGAGACAUCAUUUCAUAUUAAAAAACCAU
rnacentral:lncRNA from 1 species